rnacentral:rRNA from 2 species
UACGUAGGUGGCAAGCGUUAUCCGGAUUUACUGGGUGUAAAGGGCGUGUAGGCGGGACUGCAAGUCAGGUGUGAAAACCACGGGCUCAACCUGUGGCCUGCAUUUGAAACUGUAGUUCUUGAGUGCUGGAGAGGCAAUCGGAAUUCCGUGUGUAGCGGUGAAAUGCGUAGAUAUACGGAGGAACACCAGUGGCGAAGGCGGAUUGCUGGACAGUAACUGACGCUGAGGCGCGAAAGCGUGGGGAGCAAACAGG